rnacentral:sRNA from 1 species
UACGAGCUAGCCCCCGGAUGAACUUCUC